UAGGGAAUCUUCCACAAUGGGACGAAAGUCUGAUGGAGCAACGCCGCGUGAGUGAAGAAGGGUUUCGGCUCGUAAAACUCUGUUGUUAAAGAAGAACAUAUCUGAGAGUAACUGUUCAGGUAUUGACGGUAUUUAACCAGAAAGCCACGGCUAACUACGUGCCUG
rnacentral:rRNA from 1 species